GAGCCCGUGGCUCAAUGGUUAGAGCGUUGGACUUCUGAUCAACAGGUCGCGGGUUCGAUCCUCGGGUCGGGUCCC
rnacentral:tRNA from 1 species